rnacentral:rRNA from 2 species
UGCAUAUCAAUAAGCGGAGGAAAAGAAACCAACAGGGAUUGCCUCAGUAACGGCGAGUGAAGCGGCAAGAGCUCAAAUUUGAAAGCUGGCCCCUUCGGGGUCCGCAUUGUAAUUUGCAGAGGAUGCUUCGGGAGCGGCCCCCAUCUAAGUGCCCUGGAACGGGCCGUCAUAGAGGGUGAGAAUCCCGUCUGGGAUGGGGUGCCCGCGCCCGUGUGAAGCUCCUUCGACGAGUCGAGUUGUUUGGGAAUGCAGCUCUAAAUGGGUGGUAAAUUUCAUCUAAAGCUAAAUACUGGCCGGAGACCGAUAGCGCACAAGUAGAGUGAUCGAAAGAUGAAAAGCACUUUGAAAAGAGAGUUAAACAGCACGUGAAAUUGUUGAAAGGGAAGCGCUUGCGACCAGACUCGCUCGCGGGGUUCAGCCGGCCUUCGGGCCGGUGUACUUCCCCGCGGGCGGGCCAGCGUCGGUUUGGGCGGCCGGUCAAAGGCCCUCGGAAUGUAACGCCCCCCGGGGCGUCUUAUAGCCGAGGGUGCCAUGCGGCCAGCCCGGACCGAGGAACGCGCUUCGGCUCGGACGCUGGCAUAAUGGUCGUAAGCGACCCGUCUUGAAACACGGACCA